AGGAGGGUGGGACAGGGACCCCUGCAGCCACAAUCAAAUCUGACUUGGUCAGUCAAAGCUGAGAGCUAUGAGAUGGAGAAGACAAGAAGCGUGCGUUCCUUCUGCUGUGGGAAAAUGGCAGGUGUAAUUCAACGGAAAACAUUCACAACUUUCUUUAACGGUGAUUCAGGCAGAACUUUAGGAUGGUGAAGACCAGGAAAUUUGGGAAGAUCCUCUCAGAGAGACUCGGAGCUGGCACUGCACGGUGCUUCAGUGCUGUCCUCAGCACCAAACAACCGUCCAGGGCAUGUCCCACGUGCUUGCACAGAUACAGCCCCUGGGCUUUCAGGACGACCUGUCUGUUGUGUUGGUGCCAUUGUAGGAAAAGCUGCCGUUGAGAGGAGGAACCUCCAGGAGCAUCUGUGAGCUUUGGGAGCAAUGCAGACUGACAGGAGAGAUGCGGCCGCCUGAGGAGCAGCUGAUGGCGGGUGUUCAAGAAGAGCCUCAGAGAAUUGCUGGAGAAAUUACUGCUAGCAGAUACGACUGCAGAGACCAUCCCUCGGGUACCUUUGCAAGUGCGGCUCCUCGGAAGGUUCCCGUUAACCACCUGCAGCUCAGGACCAGGUCUGGAAUCCAUCACCGCUCCUAUCAAUUUUUUAAACUUUAUUUUUUUUCUCUAUACCUUGUUUUUAAUAAGGCAGAGUUACAAAAUUACUUGGUUUAUGUUCCUAGGGGCUGCCAAAAAGUGAGCAAUUCAGGAGAGGGAGGUUGA
rnacentral:lncRNA from 1 species